rnacentral:rRNA from 1 species
GAUGAACGCUGGCGGCGUGCCUAAUACAUGCAAGUCGAGCGAACGGACGAGAAGCUUGCUUCUCUGAUGUUAGCGGCGGACGGGUGAGUAACACGUGGAUAACCUACCUAUAAGACUGGGAUAACUUCGGGAAACCGUAGCUAAUACCGGAUAAUAUUUUGAACCGCAUGGUUCAAAAGUGAAAGACGGUCUUGCUGUCACUUAUAGAUGGAUCCGCGCUGCAUUAGCUAGUUGGUAAGGUAACGGCUUACCAAGGCAACGAUGCAUAGCCGACCUGAGAGGGUGUUCGGCCACACUGGAACUGGGACACGGUCCAGACUCCUACGGGAGGCAGCAGUAGGGAAUCUUCCGCAAUGGGCGAAAGCCUGACGGAGAAACGCCGCGUGAGGGAGGAAGGUCUUCGGAUCGUAAAACUCUGUUAUUAGGGAAGAACAUAUGUGUAAGUAACUGUGCACAUCUUGACGGAACCUAAUCAGAAAGCCACGGCUAACUACGU